rfam:Aedes albopictus isolate Foshan contig148713, whole genome shotgun sequence.
GGCUCGGUAGCUUAGUUGGUAAAGCACUUGUCUAGCGAAUAAGGGUCGUCAGUUCAAAUCGCACCUGAGCUG